rnacentral:rRNA from 1 species
GGUGGAAUUCCUCGUGUAGCGGUGAAAUGCGUAGAGAUGUGGAGGAACACCAGUGGCUAAGGCGACUCUCUGGGCUGUAACUGACGCUGAGGAGCGAAAGCGUGGGGAGCGAACAGGAUUAUAUACCCUGGUAGUCCACGCCGUAAACGAUGAGUGCUUAGUGUUAGGGGGUUUCCGCCCCUUAUUGCUGAAGCUAACGCAUUAGGCACUCCGCCUGGGGAGUACGGUCGCAAGACUGAAACUCAAAGGAAUUGACGGGGGCCCGCACAACCGGUGGACCAGGUGGUUUAAUUCAAAGCAACGCAAAAAACCUUACCACGUCUUGACAUCCUCUGACGUUCCUAAAGAUAGGACGUCCCCUUCGGAGGCAUAAUGACAGGUGGUGCAUGGUUGU